rnacentral:sRNA from 21 species
AAAAGUUUUAGUUAGGUGAGGCUCCUAUAUAGAUAUACGCUACUGCCCAGAAACAUCGAGAGAUGCCAAAUUGGGUCAGCAGAUAUUACCGAAUCAAGGUUCUAUCUAAUGUAGCUGGAUUUAUAGUUUUAAUCUAAGCUAUAUAGUGCUAAAGCUCUACUGUCUAAUUUCGUA